rnacentral:lncRNA from 1 species
UCAUGGUGGACUUGUGUUUGAUGUUAGUUGAUAAGUUUAACAUAUAUAUGUUAUUUUAGGUGGUACACUUUUGGUAUUUUUAGCACCUUGUUGUUGUGUGUCAAUAUGGUUAAGAUGAUGUAUGUUUCCAUAGCCAAUUUGGUAUGUGAUGGAGUAGUUGCAAUGUGGUCAAGUAUGGUAUGUUUUAAGAUGGAAAUGAG